rnacentral:rRNA from 1 species
CUGAUGACGAGUUUGAUCCUGGCUCAGGAUCAACGCUGGCGGCGUGCCUAAUGCAUGCAAGUCGAACGGUACCCCUUCGGGGGUGCCGUGGCGAACGGCUGAGGAACACGUGCGUAUCUACCUGCUCGUGGGGAAUAACGCGUGGAAACACGCGCUAAUACCGCGUACGCUUGUCUUCGACAAGGAAAGCCUGCGGGCGCGGGCAGCGGAGCGCGCGGCCCAUCAGGUCGAUGGCGGGGUAAUGGCCCACCAUGCCGAUGACGGGUCGCUGGUCUGUGAGGACGGCCAGCCAGACUGGGACUGCGAGACGGCCCAGACACCUACGGGUGGCAGCAGCAAGGAAUCUUCGGCAAUGGGCGCAAGCCUGACCGAGCAACGCCGCGUGGAGG